UACGUAGGGUGCAAGCGUUAAUCGGAAUUACUGGGCGUAAAGCGUGCGCAGGCGGUUAUGUAAGACAGAUGUGAAAUGCCCGGGCUUAACCUGGGAACUGCAUUUGUGACUGCAUGGCUAGAGUUUGGCAGAGGGGGGUAGAAUUCCCAGUGUAGAGGUGAAAUUCGUAGAUAUUGGGAAGAACACCGGUGGCGAAGGCGGCGCUCUGGACCGAGACUGACGCUGAGGCGCGAAAGCGUGGGGAGCAAACAGG
rnacentral:rRNA from 1 species